AGUCUCUGGUGAUUCCUGCCGGACCCGACUGCUAUCAGAGUGGGACUAAGCCAUGCGAGUCAACGUAGCAAUGCGUGGCGAACGGCUCAGUAACACGUAGUCAACAUGCCCAGGGGACGUGGAUAACCUCGGGAAACUGAGAUUAAACCGCGAUAGGUCAAGAUUUCUGGAAUGGAUCGUGUCUUAAAUCUACAUGGCCCCUGGAUUGGACUGCGGCCGAUCAGGCUGUUGGUGAGGUAAUGGCCCACCAAACCUAUAACCGGUACGGGCUCUGAGAGGAGAAGCCCGGAGAUGGGCACUGAGACAAGGGCCCAGGCCCUAUGGGGCGCAGCAGGCGCGAAACCUCUGCAGUGGGCGAAAGCCUGACAGGGUUACUCUGAGUGAUUUCCGCUAAGGAGAUCUUUUGGCAGCUCUAAAAAUGGUGCAGAAUAAGGGGUGGGCAAGUCUGGUGUCAGCCGCCGCGGUAAUACCAGCACCCCGAGUGGUCGGGACGAUUAUUGGGCCUAAAGCAUCCGUAGCCGGUUGUGCAAGUCCUCCGUUAAAUCCAGCCGCUCAACGGAUGGGCUGCGGAGGAUACUACAGGACUAGGAGGCGGGAGAGGCAAGCGGUACUUAGUGGGUAGGGGUAAAAUCCUUUGAUCCAUUGAAGACCACCAGUGGCGAAGGCGGCUUGCCAGAACGCGCUCGACGGUGAGGGAUGAAAGCUGGGGGAGCAAACCGGAUUAGAUACCCGGGUAGUCCCAGCUGUAAACGAUGCAGACUCGGUGAUGGGCUAGCCUCGUGUCAGCCCAGUGCCGCAGGGAAGCCGUUAAGUCUGCCGCCUGGGGAGUACGGUCGCAAGACUGAAACUUAAAGGAAUUGGCGGGGGAGCACCCACAGGGGUGAAGCCUGCGGUUCAUUUGGAGUCACGCCGG
rnacentral:rRNA from 1 species